rnacentral:rRNA from 1 species
GACGAACGCUGGCGGCGUGCUUAACACAUGCAAGUCGAGCGGUAAGGCCCCUUCGGGGGUACACGAGCGGCGAACGGGUGAGUAACACGUGGGUGACCUGCCCUCAGCUCUGGGAUAAGCCUGGGAAACUGGGUCUAAUACUGGAUAUGACUCCACGGUGCAUGUCGUGGGGUGGAAAGCCUUGUGCGGCUGAGGAUGGGCCCGCGGCCUAUCAGCUUGUUGGUGGGGGAUGGCCUACCAAGGCGACGACGGGUAGCCGGCCUGAGAGGGCGACCGGCCACACUGGGACUGAGACACGGCCCAGACUCCUACGGGAGGCAGCAGUGGGGAAUCUUGCGCAAUGGGCGAAAGCCUGACGCAGCGACGCCGCGUGAGGGAUGACGGCCU